AUGCUUGCUUCGAAAGCACAUACACUAAAAUUGCAACGACACAGAGGUUAGCAUGGCCCCUGCACAAAAAUGGCAUGCAAAUUUGUGAAGUGUUCCCUAUUUGU
rfam:Myotis davidii contig92167, whole genome shotgun sequence.